rnacentral:lncRNA from 1 species
AAUUCAUAAUUAAUUGAGUAUGAAAACAAAUUUAUCGUUUAUUUUCAUGGCAAAAAAAAUGGAAAUUUUAUUUUGUGCAAAAGUAAAAUACUAAUUCGCGACGAGGGACGGUAAUUCUAGUUGGCAAGAUGCAGGGAAUGGAAGCUGCUUAGUCACCAUUUCGUAAAGAAUAACACCCAUACUCCAUAUGUCCGAUUUUAAAUCAUACGGUUGACACGAAAGCAUUUCUGGAGACAUGUAGCAAUAAGAUCCAGCACGACUCAUGGACUCCCUAAAGUAUAAAAAGAAAUAAUAAUAUUCAUUCAUAAUAUAAAGUUUACUCA